UCUUGACUUUUCCACAUUGCGUGCAACCUGAAACAAAUAGAGGGCUCUAUCUUUUAGAUGGCUAAUCAUUAAUAUAAAAUAGAAAUUUAAUAUUUUGAUUGUUUUUUUUUUCAAACUACUGGAACAUGAUUGAUAGAAGAUGCUCUUGAUAUAAACCAAGAAAAAAAUAAAUAGAUAUUUGAACGAAAAAAUAUUACCAUAUUUUAAAUGAUUACAAUUUUAAACGAUUGCAAUUUUAAACGAUUACAAUUUAUACCAUGGAAAUAGGUAUUAAUUUUUCAAUGAUAAAAUUGCGUUAUAAUUUCAAAUAGAGAUCACCUAUUCUAAGAUUUAAUAUUCUAUUGUGAAUAAAUCCUAUUAAAAAAAAUCAAUUAGUUAAAAAAUUAUAAAGAUAUAAAAUAAUUGUUUUUAAUUACUUAUUAUAAUAUAAUUAGUUUGUCACAUAAAAAUAAAAUAAUAAUUUUUGGAGAUUUAUGAUCUUGUUUAUAGUUCCCAACCAACAAAAGAAACUCCACAUUCCCAUGUUCACUUCACCGUAGUCUACAUUACACGUGUAUUACUCUAUCAUUGUGUGGACGGAAAGUCAUCUUAUAUUUACAUAACACCGACUUCUCUUAUAACAUACAAUUACAUGGAAAAACAAGCCAAAUAUUCGAUGUUCAAACUUCAACCUUAUUUGGAAAAAAAGAAUUGUAAGACCCCAUGAAAUAAAAAUUAUAAGCAAUAUAUAUUCAUAAAUCAUACCAUUUUAUAAAUAAUACAAAACUUCAAAUUUUCACCAUAAGAACUCACAUUAUAAUUUAUCUAAAAUAAAUUAAUAUAUUUGCAACUCUAAUAAUACAUGUAUAAGUUAUUCACAAUUCUUAUCUAUAUAAACUUGAGUUUGUUUUAAUUAUUCAAGUAAUCAAAUCUAAAUUUAAAAUCAAACUUAUUUAUUAAAUAAAGUUCCUUUGAGGAGGGUCUCAGGUAAGAAAAGUUAAUUGGGUCAAAUGAACGACAGUUUGCAGAGCAAAACCUGAAAGUGAAUUACGUGUCAAAAGUAUAAGACUCUUCAACCUUGCCCUUCUUGGGAAAAGAAAAUGGAGUUUGCUGAUUGAGAGCGAUAGUCCUUACACUCUUGAGUCUAAAUAUGGAAGAGAGAGCACUUUGGGUCCAACUCUAAUCUUCCCUUGAAGAAAAUAUCUCUUUGGACUAGGGACUUAGGUAGAAUUGACCUUGGGGACCCUAUUGUCUCGAAUUAGUUAUAGAAAAACAAUGUUCUAAGGGCGAGGUGUAAAAAAAUACUAGUUUUUGGCAUGACAUGUGGCUUAGCUCUUAGAAGCUAUGUAGACAAUUAUAAUAGACUGUGUAACCUUAGUCUGUACAGGGAUGCUAAGAUAAGUGCUCCAGGGAGCUGGUAGAAUGUGGGUUGGAGGUGAUUCUUACAGGUUGCAAUUUACAGAGGGACACUGAAGAUUGUUGGGAGUAUCUACACUAAAAAACGAGCCAAUAUUCAAUCAAAUCCACCUACAAGGUUCUACUAAUCAAGAGAAUAGUCAAGAUUAGGACAACAACUUAGUCAAACUCUUAUGUGAAUCAAAAGCCCUCUCGAAGGUCAUCGCUUCACAUGGAGACUAUUCCAAGACAAAAUUCUAACUUGCUUAGGAGGAAGGAGACAACUUCCAGAAGGAACCACAUGUUGAUUCAACAAUGAAGAAAUAUAAAUCUCAACAUUUAUUCUCACCCUGC
rnacentral:lncRNA from 1 species